rnacentral:rRNA from 1 species
ACGAACGCUGGCGGCGUGCCUAACACAUGCAAGUCGAGCGGACAUGCCCGGUGUAGCAAUACAUUGGACAUGUUAGCGGCGGACGGGUGAGUAACACGUAAGUAACCUACCCUCGAGACCGGGAUAACCCGCCGAAAGGCGGGCUAAUACCGGAUGAGGAUCCGGAAACGCAUGUUUUUGGAUUCAAACGGAACCUAAAGAACCGCUUGAGGAUGGGCUUGCGGCCUAUCAGCUAGUUGGCGGUGUAGAAGACCACCAAGGCGACGACGGGUAGCUGGUUUGAGAGGACGACCAGUCACACUGGAACUGAGACACGGUCCAGACUCCUACGGGAGGCAGCAGUGAGGAAUUUUCCGCAAUGGGCGAAAGCCUGACGGAGCGACGCCGUGUGAGGGAUGAAGGCUUUCGGGUUGUAAACCUCUGUCAGGGGGGACGAAAUUGACUGUACCCCCAGAGGAAGCCCCGGCUAACUACGU